GAAUGUGAGAGCCAUCUGGCUGCGACAUCUAUCACCCCAUUGAUCGCCAGGAUUGAUUCGGCUGAUCUGGCUGGUUAGGCGGUGUCCCCUUCAUCCCUCACCAUUCCAUGAGCAUUCCUCCAGAAGCUCCACGUUCGGUUGAAGAGGAUGACCAUCCCUGAUAAUGGAGGACCAGUCUUCAGUCAAGGGUAUACGAGUAGCUGCUCUCCCUUGCUAGAACCUCCAAAUAAGCUCUCAAAAGGACACACCACUGUAGACAGAUAGCACCUGGGGGUCUCUGCCACCUCAGAGAAGAAGAUUUAUAAAUCUGUUUUGAACCAGUAUUU
ensembl:misc_RNA 7SK 7SK RNA